rnacentral:rRNA from 1 species
AUUGAACGCUGGCGGCAGGCCUAACACAUGCAAGUCGAGCGGAUGAAGGGAGCUUGCUCCUGGAUUCAGCGGCGGACGGGUGAGUAAUGCCUAGGAAUCUGCCUGGUAGUGGGGGAUAACGUCCGGAAACGGGCGCUUAUACCGCAUACGUCCUGUGGGGGAAAGUGGGGGAUCUUCGGACCUCACGCUAUCAGAUGAGCCUAGGUCGGAUUAGCUAGUUGGUGGGGUAAAGGCCUAUCCAGGCGACGAUCCGUAACUGGUCUGGGAGGAUGAUCAGUCACACAGGGUCUGAGACACGGUCCAGACUCCGACGGGAGGCAGAAGUGGGGAAUAUUGGACAGUGGGCGAUAGCCUGAUCCAGCCAUGCCGCGUGUGUGAAGAAGGUCUGCGGAUUGUGAAGCACUUUAAGUUGGGAGGAAGGGCAGGAAGUUAAGACCUUGCUGUUGUGACGGUACCAACAGAAUAAGCACCGGCUAACUUCGUG